rnacentral:lncRNA from 1 species
UUUGUGACUCUUUUUUUUUUUUCACAUUGUCAGGUGUCAAGUCUUGCUACUUAUACUUUUAGAAUAUCAUUUUAACCAUCCUCUUCUUUGCUUUCAGUAGAUCAGGGUGGGGACCUGAGAUUCUGCAUUUCUAAUAUGCUUCUGAAUCAAGCUGAUGGUGCUGCUGUAUUGACUGCACUUUGAUAAACAAGGCCCUCCUCUAGGCCGACAGUGGCCACCUGACCUAGUUCCCACUUCCCAGCCCAUGGCCAGAUCUGAGGCUCAAUUCUCUUUCAAAAAUAGAGAUCAAAUAUUGCCUAGUCUUGCUUGAAAAGAAAAAAGAUCUUUUCUGUGUCAUAGAAGAUUUGGAAAGUUACAGAGUCAGAAAAUAAAAAAUUCAAAUCAGCUACAUGGUCAUUAAUACUUUGAGAUAUAUUAAUAUAUAUGUAUUUCCUUUUAGUUGUUUCUAUAUUGUAAAUGUAUGUUCAGUUUAUAUCUGUGUUUUUCAAACCCUAAAAGGAUUGUUUACAGCUUUCUUUUGUUUCCCAGUGUAAAAAUUUGCUAAGUGUAUUGAAUCCCCUGACUUACAAAGUAGAAUCUGCCUUUUCUAUAUGACAAAAUGCUCCUUUGCUCAAUCUCCCUUACAGCUGGGAACUGAGGACUUGGUGCAGCCAAGCAGAUGCAUCCUCUAGGCUUUGAUUCAGGACCUGGUGACUCAAAGCAGCAGGGAUGACGCAGAAUCCGUUCUGGCCAGGGCACAGCAGUGAUGGCAGCUGCAUCCGGUUUCCAGUGGCAGCAGAGACAGCUGUUCUGGGGCAGUGUGCAGUGUCCGGCAUCUGAAGACUUGGCAGUGCAAGCCAUGGGGUCAGUGCUUGGCAGCUGCCGUGAUGACUUCACAGGAACAGCUCUGCAGGAUGUGAUCAUUAUAUUGGAAAUCAUUGGUCAUUAUAUUGGAAGCAAGAUUCUCAGGUAUGAAAGAACACAGUUCUCUUGCUAGCUAAAUAAGUAAUCUAUGUGCUUCUUAGUUUUUCCCUUUUAACCAUAUUCACCUUUUUCUCUUGGGUUAACUUUCAGGAACUUUUAGUGACUUCCAGGAAAUACUAAUGCUAAAGUUACUAUAACAAGAUUCAGGAUCAUCAAAGGUAAAAAUGUUUUUAAAUAAACAUGAAAAGCAUUUCA